rnacentral:rRNA from 1 species
CAGAGGGUGCAAACGUUGUUCGGAAUUACUGGGCGUAAAGCGCGUGUAGGCGGCCCUGCAAGUCGGGUGUGAAAUCCCAUGGCUCAACCAUGGAAGUGCACUCGAAACUGCAGGGCUAGAGUCCUGGAGAGGAAGGUGGAAUGCUUGGUGUAGAGGUGAAAUUCGUAGAUAUCAAGCGGAACACCGGUGGCGAAGGCGGCCUUCUGGACAGUGACUGACGCUGAGACGCGAAAGCGUGGGGAGCAAACAGGAUUAGAUACCCUGGUAGUCCACGCCGUAAACGAUGAGUGCUAGGUGUCACGGGCUUUGACCCUCGUGGUGCCGAAGCUAACGCGUUAAGCACUCCGCCUGGGGAGUACGGCCGCAAGGCUA